rnacentral:tRNA from 1 species
GCGUCCGUAGCUCAAUGGAUAGAGUUUCGGACUUCGGAUCCGACGGUUAUAGGUUCGAGUCCUAUCGGGCGCACCA